UACGGGGGGGGCAAGCGUUGUUCGGAAUUACUGGGCGUAAAGGGCUUGUAGGUGGCCAACUAAGUCAGACGUGAAAUCCCUCGGCUUAACCGGGGAACUGCGUCUGAUACUGGAUGGCUUGAGUUCGGGAGAGGGAUGCGGAAUUCCAGGUGUAGCGGUGAAAUGCGUAGAUAUCUGGAGGAACACCGGUGGCGAAGGCGGCAUCCUGGACCGAUACUGACGCUGAAGAGCGAAAGCCAGGGGAGCAAACAGG
rnacentral:rRNA from 1 species